AAAUUGAAGAGUUUGAUCAUGGCUCAGAUUGAACGCUGGCGGCAGGCCUAACACAUGCAAGUCGAACGGUAACAGGAAGCAGCUUGCUGAUUCGCUGACGAGUGGCGGACGGGUGAGUAAUGUCUGGGAAACUGCCUGAUGGAGGGGGAUAACUACUGGAAACGGUAGCUAAUACCGCAUAAUGUCGCAAGACCAAAGAG
rnacentral:rRNA from 1 species